GAUAAAAAGCCAGUUCAUGCUUUUAUAGUAUGAAAAUUGGUGAUUUAUAAUAACUUAGCAAAUCGCAAAGUGAAAACAGGCGAUAAAUCAUUCAAGUUUCUGACCUAUCAGCUUUCGACGGUAUGGUAUUGGCUUACCGUGGCAGUGACGGUUAACGGGGGAUUAGGGUUCGAUUCCGGAGAGGGAGCCUGAGAAACGGCUACCACAUCUAAGGAAGGCAGCAGGCGCGCAAAUUACCCAAUUCUAACAGUUUGAGAGAGGUAGUAACAAGAAAUAACAAUACAAGGCAGUUAAAAUGCUUUGUAAUUGGAAUGAUAGAAAUUUAAACCCUUUUUAAAGUAUCAAUUGGAGGGCAAGUCUGGUGCCAGCAGCCGCGGUAAUUCCAGCUCCAAUAGCGUAUAUUAAAAUUGUUGCAGUUAAAAAGCUCGUAGUUGAAGUUCUGCUGAAAGUAACCGGUCUGCUUUUAAUAAAAGUGGUAUCUUGGUAUGUAUUUAGCAAUGAUGUCCUUUGAAGUGUUUUUUACUUUAUUGUAAUAAAGCAUAUUCAGGACUUUUACUUUGAGAAAAUUAGAGUGUUUCUAGCAGGCUAACGCUUUGAAUACUGCAGCAUGGAAAUAAUAAGAA
rnacentral:rRNA from 1 species